CUAGCCGUAAACGAUGGAUACUAGGUGUUAGAGGUAUCGACCCCUCUAGUGCCGCAGCUAACGCAAUAAGUAUCCCGCCUGGGGAGUACGGCCGCAAGGUUGAAACUCAAAGGAAUUGACGGGGGCCCGCACAAGCGGUGGAGCAUGUGGUUUAAUUCGUCACUAACCGAAGAACCUUACCAGGGUUUGACAUGUAGGGAAUCCGGAUGAAAGUCUGGAGUGCCUCGUAAGAGGAGCCCUAACACAGGUGU
rnacentral:rRNA from 1 species